ensembl:lincRNA
AGACGGGGUUUCACCGUGUUAGCCAGGAUGGUCUCGAUCUGCUGACCUCGCGAUCCGCCCGCCUCGACCUCCCAAAGUGCUGGGAUUACAGGCGUGAGCCACCGCGCCCGGCCUCAGCUGGUUUUUCAAAAGUCAUGGCGUGUAAUUGUCAGAACAGUGAACUUCGGAGAUUCACCGGAGGGGCGAGGCCACAGCUUGACCGCGAGCACCUGAGCAUCCUGCACCGCCUGCGACGGCCGUCAGGGGGCGCGAUGCCGCCUCACAGAACCUCAAGAGGCGCCCGGGUUCCGGCACAGACGCCCUGCGGCUCCAGGGGGCGGAGCCGAGCCGCCUCCUCAGGACCUACGCAGGAGACGCCUCCAUCCCUACAGGGACACCUGAGAGGACCCAGCCUCCUCCUCCUCAGGACCCACUCGGGAGACGCCGCUGGCUCUAUAGGAACACCUGGGGACCGUGGCCAGGGACGACCCAGCCUCCUUCUCCUCAGCUCCUCAGGAACGACUGGGGAAGCUGUGGCUUCAUGGUCCCCGAGGCUGCCCGAGGAAAGGCGGAGUCUCGCUCUGGAGUGCAGUGGCGCGAUCUCAGCUCACAGCAAGCUCCGCCUCCCGGGUUCAUGCCAUUCUCCUGUCCCGGCCUCCCGAGUAGCUGGGACUGCAGGCUGCCGCCACCAAGUCCCGCUAAUUUUUUUGUAUUUUUUUUUUUUAGUAGAGACUGGGUUUCACCUUGUAAGCCAUGAUGGUCUCGAUUUCCUGACCUCAUGAGCCACCCGUCUCGGCCUCCCAAAGUGCCGGGAUUACAGGCGUGAGCCACGGUGCCCGGCCGCGACUCUUUACAAGGACUCCUUGGGAGGCUUCUAAAGCCCAAAUGUUGUUUGAUGUAAGAAUUCCUCCCUUUUGGUCAGCCUCUCAAUUUUGAGAUAUUGAUCAAAACUUUGGGCAUUGGUGUCACUCUUUGUUAUCGUUGUAAGUUGAGUUAUUAGGACUUAUUUGCUUUCAGUGUGGCAUUUUCAAGUUUUAUUUGGUCUCAGUGCCCUCUGGGCAAUAGCAGAACACUGUGUUGUGUAAGGCGGAAAUAGAGCAAUAGAAAAUAACAACUGAUUUGUUAAUAUCAGAUUACUUCAAGUUACUUGUUUUGGUAAGAAUUAAAGCAGAGGGGACUUCUUUAUGCUGACUCAGGUAGACUGGAGUCUCUUCAGGGAAAAAGGGAGCUCUUUUGGGAUCUAUCUGCUUCCUUAAAGUUUCAGCUUCGUUGUGUGUCAUUCAGCGUGAGUGUCUCCAUUCUGGUUUUGCCUGCUCAGUGUGGCCUAAUGCAGGAGUUGUGACCAAAACAAUGACCUCCCGUAAUUUGUUCAACAGUUCUCCCCUUUUGGUUAGGUUCCUACCUAGGUGAGGGUGUGACUAAAAACUUAGGGCAUUAGCACUAUUCUCAGUAACUAUCAUUUUAGGUUUCCGGUCUCAACACAUCAUUUAAGAAGUCAGUAAAGCUUUCUUCUAUUGUGACAGCAUAUUUAAUACUGAGAAGGAAAAGAAAAUUUUUAUCUUGCAAAUGUGAGCUUCCUCUAAAUUAUCAGGUCCAGAGAGGCGUGGGAAUGAGGCAGCAGUCACGUCCCAUUUCCCGCUUAGCUAAAUAAUCAUAUCUUGAAGCUGCUUGCUAUGUAGACUAGACUGACUGUCAUCAGCUAUAGAUUAACCUAAGAGUGUCUUUGAAUAUUUUUUCCAGUGGCAAAUAUUUGCUUCUGUUGUAUCGUAGCUGAAAGAAAUGCUGGGAAACAAAAUAAAGGCAAGCAUUCAUUAGAAUAAGUGAUCCAGUCACAAGGAAUCAAUUUGAACUUUUUUUUUUUUUCACAAAGUCAUACUUUGAAAACAUCCAGCCGUAAAUUGAAAUAGUCUCCAAAAUGUGAAUUUUUUUCCCUGGUUCUAAGAUGACCAGCUUUCUUAGAGAGUGAACUACACCAUAAGAAAAAUGAUACGACCAUGUUUACACAUAUAUGUUAUCUUAACAUAAAACAUGUAAAAGGGGCAUUUCUUUGAAAGUAUGUAUUAGUCUGUAUAAUUUACUUUGCAGUAUCAUGAAUGCUCUUAUUUUUAAAAGUAGGAGUAGUUACUGCCAAUUACUAAUUUUUAGUAGAAAUAAUUUAGCAGAUAUCUGAAAAAAUUACAAUUUUUAAAUAGAGGUUUUAUUUUAAAUUAGUUUUAGAUUCAUACAGAAAUUGGGAAGAAAAUGCAGAUUUCCCAUGUAGACGCAACCUAGUUUCCCCUCUUUUUAACAUAUCAACAUGUAUCAGAUAGGUUUAACAUCUUUUUUUUUUUUUUUUCCAGACAGAGUCUCAACCAGGCUGGAGUGCAGUGGCAUGAUCUCGGCUCACUGCAACCUCCGCCUCCCAGGUUCAAGCAAUUCUCCUGCCUCAGCCUCCUGAGUAGCUGGUAUUACAGGCGCCUGCCAUCACGCCCGGCUAAUUUUUGUAUUUUUAGUAGAGAUGAGGUUUCACCACGUUGGCCAGGCUGGUCUUGAACUCCUGAUCUUAGGUGAUCCGCCCGCCUCAGCCUCCCAAAGUGCUGGGAUUACAGGCAUGAGCCACCACUCCUGACCAACAUCUUAUAUCAUUUCUUGUCAUAGUUAAUGACUGGAUAUUACUAUAUUAUUAAAUAAGCUCACAUCUUAUUUGGUUUCCCUUAGUUCUGCCUUUUUCUCUCCCAGGAUCCUAUCUAGGAUCCCAUAGGACAUUUAGUCAUCAUGUCAGGCUCUUCUUGGCUGUGGCAGUCUCUCAGACUUUACUUCUGAGGACCUGGAACAGUGUUAGGAGGAUUGGUCAGGUAUUGUGUAGAAUGUCCUCCAUUGUGGUUUACUUGGGGUUUUUCUCAUAAUCAGCCUGGGUUUAGGGGUUUGGGGGAAGCAGAGCAGAUGUGUAGUGUGUCCGCAAAAAGAGUCAAAGACUGUAAAAUAUUUGAAGAGAUGUAUUCUGAGCCAAAUAUGAGUGACCAUGGCCCAUGACACAGCCCUCAGGAGACCCUGAGAACAUGUGCCCAAGGUCGUUGGGGUGCAGGUUGGUUCUAUACAUUUUAGGGAGAUAGGAGACAUCAAUCAAGUGUAUUUAAGAUAUAUAUUGGUUCGGUCCAGAAAGGUGGGACAACCCAAAGGAUUAGGGUGGGGUGGGGCUUCCAGGUUAUAGGUACAUUUAAAAUUUUUCUGAUUGGCAGUUUGUUGAAAGACUUACUAUCAAUAGAAAGGAGUGUCUGGGUUAUGAUAAGGGGUUAUGGAGACCAAGGUUUUAUCAUGGAGAUGAAGCUUCCAGGUAGCAGGCUUCAGAGAGAAUAGAUUGUAAAUGUUUCUUAUCAGAUUUAAGGUCGUGUUGAUGUUAAAUGCUGAUUGGCUUUUCCUGAAUUCCAAAAGGGAGGAGGGCAUACUGAGGCAUGUCUGACCACCUCUUUCCCAUCAUAGCCUGAACCAGUCUUCCAGGUUAACUUUGGUGUCCCCUGGUGGAGAGGUGGUUGUGGGAAAGAUCUUUGAAUUUUAUUUUUGGUUUGCAAGUGCUAGUCUA